rnacentral:rRNA from 1 species
GAAGGUUAAACUACCUACUUCUUUUGCAGCCCACUCCCAUGGUGUGACGGGCGGUGUGUACAAGGCCCGGGAACGUAUUCACCGUGGCAUUCUGAUCCACGAUUACUAGCGAUUCCGACUUCAUGGAGUCGAGUUGCAGACUCCAAUCCGGACUACGACGCACUUUUUGGGAUUCGCUCACUUUCGCAAGUUGGCCGCCCUCUGUAUGCGCCAUUGUAGCACGUGUGUAGCCCUACUCGUAAGGGCCAUGAUGACUUGACGUCGUCCCCACCUUCCUCCGGUUUAUCACCGGCAGUCUCCCUGGAGUUCCCGACAUUACUCGCUGGCAAACAAGGAUAAGGGUUGCGCUCGUUGCGGGACUUAACCCAACAUUUCACAACACGAGCUGACGACAGCCAUGCAGCACCUGUCUCAGAGUUCCCGAAGGCACCAAUCCAUCUCUGGAAAGUUCUCUGGAUGUCAAGAGUAGGUAAGGUUCUUCGCGUUGCAUCGAAUUAAACCACAUGCUCCACCGCUUGUGCGGGCCCCCGUCAAUUCAUUUGAGUUUUAAUCUUGCGACCGUACUCCCCA